CCUACGGGAGGCAGCAGUGAGGAAUAUUGGUCAAUGGUCGGGAGACUGAACCAGCCAAGCCGCGUGAGGGAGGAAGGUACAGAGUAUCGUAAACCUCUUUUGUCAGGGAACAAAGGCGGGGACGUGUCCCCGGAUGAGUGUACCUGAAGAAAAAGCAUCGGCUAACUCCGUGCCAGCAGCCGCGGUAAUACGGUGGAUGCGAGCGUUAUCCGGAUUUAUUGGGUUUUAAGGGUGCGCAGGCGGUCUGUUAAGUCAGCGGUCAAAGCCCGGGGCUCAACCCCGGCCCGCCGUUGAAACUGGCAGUCGCGAGUUGGAGAGAAGUAUGCGGAAUGCGCGGUGUAGCGGUGAAAUGCAUAGAUAGCGCGCAGAACUCCGAUUGCGAAGGCAGCAUGCCGGCUCCACACUGACGCUGAGGCACGAAAGCGUGGGUAUCGAACAGGAUUAGAUACCCUUGUAGUC
rnacentral:rRNA from 1 species